UACGGGGGAGCAAGCGUUGUUCGGAUUUACUGGGCGUAAAGGGCGCGUAGGCGGCCAGCGCAAGUCAGUUGUGAAAUCAUCCGGGCUUAACUCGGCAACGAUCGACUGAUACUGCGCGGCUAGAGUGCAGAAGGGGCAACUGGAAUUCUCGCGUAGCGGUGAAAUGCGUAGAUAUCGAGAGGAACACCUGCGGCGAAGGCGGGUUGCUGGGCUGACACUGACGC
rnacentral:rRNA from 1 species